CGCAGUAAUCAUAACUGUAAUAAGUAACAAUUUCACAACUGUUAUACAACUAUAUUAUACAACUAUAACUAAUGAUCUGAUAAUAUCCGGCCACCAUCUGUUCUAAACUGAUGCACACGGGCAGGAACAGCUUACGCAGCCUGAUUAAAUGAAGGUGCAGAUAAUUAGUAGUGUUUAAUUCGUUAAUAAUAGAGAAUUACACAUAUUAAGUACCGUUCCCGGAAUGAUAACGUACGAUCACCUGAGGAAUGAAAGAGUUUGUUCGAUCGGUUGCUGCAUCAUUUUCCAUUGAGAAUUUGAUAUCGAAUUGAUUACAGAUUAGUCAAUCGGUG
rnacentral:lncRNA from 1 species